rnacentral:tRNA from 6 species
GCGAACUUGGCGGAAUGGUAGACGCAGGAGACUUAAAAUCUCCAGCCCGUAUGGGCGUGCGGGUUCGAGUCCCGCAGUUCGCA